UGGGGAAUACUGCACAAUGGGCGAAAGCCUGAUGCAGCAACGCCGCGUGAGUGAUGAAGGCCUUCGGGUUGUAAAGCUCUGUCUUUUGGGACGAUAAUGACGGUACCAAAGGAGGAAGCCACGGCUAACUACGUGCCAGCAGCCGCGGUAAUACGUAGGUGGCAAGCGUUGUCCGGAUUUACUGGGCGUAAAGGAUGCGUAGGCGGAUUUUUAAGUGAGAUGUGAAAUACCCGGGCUUAACUUGGGUGCUGCAUUUCAAACUGGGAAUCUAGAGUGCGGGAGAGGAGAAUGGAAUUCCUAGUGUAGCGGUGAAAUGCGUAGAGAUUAGGAAGAACACCAGUGGCGAAGGCGAUUCUCUGGACCGUAACUGACGCUGGGGCAUGAAAGCGUGGUAGCAAACAGGAUUAGAUACCCUGGUAGUCCACGCCGUAAACGAUGAGUACUAGGUGUAGGAGGUAUCGACCCCUUCUGUGCCGCAGUUAACACAAUAAGUACCUCCGCCUGGGAAGUACGACCGCAAGA
rnacentral:rRNA from 1 species